rnacentral:rRNA from 1 species
AGCGAACGCUGGCGGCAGGCUUAACACGUGCAAGUCGAACGGGCGUAGCAAUACGUCAGUGGCAGACGGGUGAGUAACACGUGGGAACAUCCCCCUUGGUUCUGAAUAACUCAGGGAAACUUGAGCUAAUACCGGAUAAGUCCGAGAGGAGAAAGAUUCAUCGCCGAGGGAUCGGCCCGCGUCUGAUUAGCUAGUUGGUGAGGUAAUGGCUCACCAAGGCGACGAUCAGUAGCUGGUCUGAGAGGAUGAUCAGCCACACUGGGACUGAGACACGGCCCAGACUCCUACGGGAGGCAGCAGUGGGGAAUAUUGGACAAUGGGCGAAAGCCUGAUCCAGCCAUGCCGCGUGGGUGAUGAAGGCCUUAGGGUUGUAAAGCUCUUUUGUCCGGGAAGAUAAUGACUGUACCGGAAGAAUAAGCCCCGGCUAACUUCGUGCCAGCCGCCGCCGUAA